ACUGGACUUGGAGUCAGAAGCA
rnacentral:miRNA from 1 species